rnacentral:rRNA from 1 species
UACAGGGGGUGCAAACGUUGCUCGGAAUCAUUGGGCGUAAAGCGCACGUAGGCGGUUCGUUAAGUCGGAUGUGAAAGCCCUCGGCUCAACUGAGGAAGUGCACCCGAAACUGGCGAGCUUGAGUACGAAAGAGGAUCGCGGAAUUCCCGGUGUAGAGGUGAAAUUCGUAGAUAUCGGGAGGAACGCCGGUGGCGAAAGCGGCGAUCUGGGUCGCUACUGACGCUGAGGUGCGAAAGCGUGGGGAGCAAACAGG